AUUGAACGCUGGCGGCAUGCCUUACACAUGCAAGCCGAACGGUAACAGGUCUUCGGAUGCUGACGAGUGGCGAACGGGUGAGUAAUACAUCGGAACGUGCCCAGUCGUGGGGGAUAACGAAGCGGAAGCUUUGCUAAUACCGCAUACGAUCUACGGAUGAAAGCGGGGGAUCGCAAGACCCCGCGCGAUUGGAGCGGCCGAUGGCAGAUUAGGUAGUUGGUGGGGUAAAGGCUUACCAAGCCUACGAUCUGUAGCUGGUCUGAGAGGACGACCAGCCACACUGGGACUGAGACACGGCCCAGACUCCUACGGGAGGCAGCAGUGGGGAAUUUUGGACAAUGGGCGCAAGCCUGAUCCAGCAAUGCCGCGUGCAGGAUGAAGGCCUUCGGGUUGUAAACUGCUUUUGUACGGAACGAAAAGCUCUGGGUUAAUACCCUGGGGUCAUGACGGUACCGUAAGAAUAAGCACCGGCUAACUACGUGCCAGCAGCCGCGGUAA
rnacentral:rRNA from 1 species